UUAAUUCCUAGAGAUAAAAUAUAUAUAUGUCAAAAUUACAAAAAACCCUUCUAUCAAAACCUGAUUUUUCACUUCCCCUCCUAUCAUUUAAAAACCUACACUUCGCCCUCUUGUAAAAUGAUGUGUGUGUAGUUUUAAUUUGGUGGGUGAGCAAUAUAAUUUCAUCAGCUUAAUUCCUAGAGAUAAAAUAUAUAUAUGUCAAAAUUACAAAAAACCCUUCUAUCAAAACCUGAUUUUUCACUUCCCCUCCUAUCAUUUAAAAACCUACACUUCGCCCUUUUGUAAAAUGAAAAAUAUUCAUUUCACCUCCUGCCGUUAGUGAUGCGUUAGGGUUUCGUUUAUAAAAUAUUAUUAUAUAUUUUUUUAUGCCAAAAAUGCUCUCAGUCUUCUUUUCUGUUGGCAAAAAUGGUGAGGGGCAAAAUAGUCAUUUUGUCAUCAUAGUUUACAUCGUAACCCUCUGUGACUAUUUUUCAUUUUACAAGGGGUCAAAGUGUAGGUUUUUAAAUGACGGGGGAGGAAACUGAAAAAUCGAAUUUUAACAGAAAGAUUUUAUGUAAUUUAGCCUAUAUAUAUAUUAAUAAGAAGG
rnacentral:lncRNA from 1 species